rnacentral:rRNA from 1 species
AUUGAACGCUGGCGGCAGGCCUAACACAUGCAAGUCGAGCGGAGCGGCGGACGGGUGAGUAAUGCCUAGGAAUCUGCCUGGUCGUGGGGGAUAACGUCCGGAAACGGGCGCUAAUACCGCAUACUAUCAGAUGAGCCUCGGUCGGAUUAGCUAGUUGGUGGGGUAAAGGCCUACCAAGGCGACGAUCCGUAACUGGUCUGAGAGGCUGAUCAGUCACACGUGAACUGAGACACGGUCCAGAAGCCUACGGGAGGCAGCAGUGGGGAACAUUGGACACAGGGCGAAAGCCGGAUCCAGCUAUGCCGCGUGUGUGAAGAAGGUCUUCGGAUUGUAAAGCACUGUAAGUUGGGAGGCGUUACCCACAGAAUAAGCACCGGCUAACUUCGUGCCAGCAGCCGCGGUAAUAC